UACGUAGGGACCAAGCGUUGUUCGGAUUUACUGGGCGUAAAGGGCGCGUAGGCGGCGCGGUAAGUCACUUGUGAAAUCUCUGAGCUUAACUCAGAACGGCCAAGUGAUACUGCAGUGCUAGAGUGUGGAAGGGGCAAUCGGAAUUCUUGGUGUAGCGGUGAAAUGCGUAGAUAUCUGGAGGAACACCGAUGGCGAAGGCAGCUGCCUGGCCCAGAACUGACGCUGAGGCGCGAAAGCUAGGGGAGCAAACGGG
rnacentral:rRNA from 1 species